GACGAACGCUGGCGGCGUGCUUAACACAUGCAAGUCGAACGAAGUGGCGAACGGGUGAGUAACGCGUAAUCAACCUGCCCUUCAGAGGGGGACAACAGUUGGAAACGACUGCUAAUACCGCAUACGGAAGGAGGGGAUUGCGUCUGAUUAGCUAGGUGGAGGGGUAACGGCCUACCAAGGCGAUGAUCAGUAGGCGGGUUGAGAGGAUGGACGGCCACAUCGGGACUUGGACACGGCCCCAACUCCUACCGGAAGGAGCAGGGGGGAAAUUUCCGCAAUGGGCGAAAGGCUGGCGGAGCAACUCCGCGUGAGUGAUGACUGCCUUCGGGGUGGAAAGCUCUGUUAAGCGGGACGCGGUACCUGAAUAGAAAGCCACGGCUAACUACGUGCCAGCAGCCGCGGUAAUAC
rnacentral:rRNA from 1 species